rnacentral:rRNA from 1 species
CUACGGGAUGCUGCAGUGGGGAAUAUUGGACAAUGGGCGAAAGCCUGAUCCAGCAAUGCCGCGUGAGUGAAGAAGGCCUUAGGGUUGUAAAACUCUUUCACCCGUGAAGAUGAUGACGGUAGCGGGAGAAGAAGCCCCGGCUAACUCCGUGCCAGCAGCCGCGGUAAUACGGAGGGGGCUAGCGUUGUUCGGAAUUACUGGGCGUAAAGCGCACGUAGGCGGCGCACAUAGUCAGAGGUGAAAGGCCCGGGCUCAACCCGGGAACGGCCUUUGAUACUGGUGUGCUCGAGUCCGGGAGAGGGUAGUGGAAUUCCCAGUGUAGAGGUGAAAUUCGUAGAUAUUGGGAAGAACACCGGUUGCGAAGGCGGCUACCUGGCCCGGUACUGACGCUGAGGUGCGAAAGCGUGGGGAGCAAACAGGAUUAGAUACCCUAGUAGUC